AACACAAAACGAAAGGAGAGAUAAAUUAAAAGCAUGAAGAAAUGAAGUUUCCUUUGUUACUUAUUCGCAAGAGUCUGCUGAAGAAUUUUUCCAUUAGACAGACAGAGAGACAGGUAAUAUUUAUUAUUUUGCAAUCUUGAAUCUUGAUAUUCAAAUCUAGCUCCUCUUGUUUCGCCUCUUUUUGUGAAAUGUAAACACAUGUUAUCUCCUCAUCAACUAAUAAAACUCUUUGCACUCUUCAUAUAUGCAAGAACCAUUAACAAAACUCUGUGCUGGCUAACCACACCACUAAUAAGGCCAGUUUAAGUAAAUUAAGCAUCAUUGUUCAAAAGUGAUCAGACUAGACACACUCAUCUCUUUGACAGUCCUUAAUUACAACAUGUAAUGUUACAGUAGUUUAUGAAAGUCUCUGUACGCACUCUUAACUAGAGGGUGAAUUAAGAACUCUGUGUUGUGUUCUGUGUUAGUGCACAACAGCACAAGAGAGCUAAAAGACAUAGCAGCCUUGCAAGUUGCAAACUAUAUGAGUUUAUUAUUAUGUAGUUUCAUUGUACAUCCACACAAGCUAUAAACACACAGUCAUUUGCUAUAUGAAGAAACGUUUGCUUUCGCAGGUACAAAUCAAAAGAGUCAAGAUUUGAAGAAUCAUAGUAGCUACCAGCUAUGUAUUCUCUAGAACUUUGCAUUUUAUCUAUCAAAGUUAUGUACAAGAGUUCGAAUUGUUUGUUUCACUCAACCGGAUAUAAAACGGUCUUUUUGUUUUCCUUUCAAAAAUACUAUUUAAUUUUCAUAUAUUUUUAAUAAAUCGACUAUGUAAAACUUUAAAAGUUAUAUUGAAAAAUCAAAACAAAUUUAUAGUGUCCAAACUCCAAAGUCCAGACAAGACAUAAAUCUCACUUUUUGGUUUAAAAUAAUUAGUGUCUU
rnacentral:lncRNA from 1 species